rnacentral:tRNA from 1 species
AUGGAGUGAUGGGCUCCUCUUAUCA